rnacentral:rRNA from 1 species
CCUACGGGUGGCAGCAGUGAGGAAUAUUGGUCAAUGGACGAGAGUCUGAACCAGCCAAGUAGCGUGAAGGAUGACUGCCCUAUGGGUUGUAAACUUCUUUUAUAUGGGAAUAAAAUGUUCCACGUGUGGGAUUUUGUAUGUACCAUAUGAAUAAGGAUCGGCUAACUCCGUGCCAGCAGCCGCGGUAAUACGGAGGAUCCGAGCGUUAUCCGGAUUUAUUGGGUUUAAAGGGAGCGUAGGUGGAUUGUUAAGUCAGUUGUGAAAGUUUGCGGCUCAACCGUAAAAGUGCAGUUGAAACUGGCAGUCUUGAGUACAGUAGAGGUGGGCGGAAUGCGUGGUGUAGCGGUGAAAUGCUUAGAUAUCACGAAGAACCCCGAUUGCGAAGGCAGUUCACUGGACUGCAACUGACACUGAGGCUCGAAAGUGUGGGUAUCAAACAGGAUUAGAUACCCCUGUAGUC